GACGAACGCUGGCGGUGUGCUUAACACAUGCAAGUCGAACGGUAAGGCCCUUUCGGGGGUACACGAGUGGCGAACGGGUGAGUAACACGUGAGUAACCUGCCCUCAUCUCUGGGAUAACAGUCGGAAACGGUUGCUAAUACUGGAUAUGAGCCUGCAAGGCAUCUUGUGGGUUGGAAAGAUUUUUUGGUUGGGGAUGGACUCGCGGCCUAUCAGCUUGUUGGUGAGGUAGUGGCUCACCAAGGCUUCGACGGGUAGCCGGCCUCAGAGGGCGACCGGCCACAUUGGGACUGAGAUACGGCCCAAACUCCUACGGGAGGCAGCAGUGGGGAAUAUUGCACAAUGGACGGAAGUCUGAUGCAGCAACGCCGCGUGCGGGAUGACGGCCUUCGGGUUGUAAACCGCUUUCAAUUGUGACGAAGCUUUUUGUGACGGUAGCAGUAGAAGAAGCACCGGCUAACUACGUG
rnacentral:rRNA from 1 species